CCCCUCCCCCGCCGCCCCAUCCCCACCACACCCCUCCCCGCCGCCGACGCCUCAUCCCCACCACUGCCUGUCCUCCGUCGCCGCCCUUUCUGUCCGCCAUAGGGGGGAACCACAGAAGCAAGUUGACUAGUGAUGUAGCUGGGGAGCUUAGUGAUACAUUUGUAAGUUGUGAGGAGACUAGAUCCAAUUCUCAGGCUAUUGCAUUUUCUCCAUUGGAGCAGCAAGUGCUGAAGAAGAUGCAGCAGAGCUAUGCUACCUCCAAGCAAGUAAAGUCCACAACUUGAACCUUUUGAGUCAAUACUCAUCAAGUGUACUAGCUAUGCGCUUCCUAGAUUUUUGUCAACCUACCAUGACGUUUGUGCCUAUUCUCCAGUUACAAUGUAAGGUGAAGAGGUGGUUCAGAUUAUUGAACUGGAUUUAGUCUAUCUCAUUUUUGUUGGAUGGAAAAGAAAAACUGAAAAGGAAUGACAAAAUUAAUAGAAGUUAUUGCUUACAAAUUUAUUGAAUUCUAGUCAUCCACGUUUAAGUAUGAGCUUGAAAAAUUGUGGGUCCUGAUCAAUGUCUUCUCUUUCUACUUUUAUCAGUGUAGUUUUUCCUUUUUUCUCAUUCUCUCCCUCUUUUUCAAUUUUAGUUACUCUUUUCUCAGAAGGUGUAACUAUGAAAGCUUGUGGUUAACUAUUAGAAUGUUUUCUCAUAUCAGAAUGUGUUUUAGUAAAACAUCUUUUUUCUUGUUUGUAAUACAAAUAUAGGUCUCUCAUUGUGUCUUGGGUUUUUUGUUUAUUGAUGUUGUAAGUAAUGAUUAUUCUCUACCAACAUAUUUUAGCUAUUUGAACCUCGAUGUGGCAUGCAUGACAUUGGAGGUUGGUAUGUGUAGACAUUUAGCAGAGAUAAGAAAGGCCGAAAUGUGCCAUCUCAGAGGUAUUGGGAUGGCUUAGAGGCAAAUGAUCACUUUGAGAAUUAAGUACCUGGUGUAGAAACCUCAAACAUAUGAAAUUGAAAUUCUCCACCCAUUUAUGAUAAUCCGAUGCAUUGUGGCACUUUGGCAAAAACAAGUUUAGGUAUUUUAUGAAUUGUGCUGAUAACAUGUUUUGCAUUUCGAUAAAUUGAUCUAACUUUACAAUGCAGGAUGUGUUUGCACCCUGUUUGAAAAGAUCAAUAUGAAAAUAUUGCUAUGUCACAAGAAGACGUAGUUCAUGCUCUUGUUGAUGAGGAUAGUGGGGAGGAAUCGGAUCAUGUCUCUAACACCCAACGCUGACUUUUGGAUUGUAAUAUUGCUAUGUUUUCUUGGAUAUGUAUAUUUUUUUUUAUGAUAGUUUUAAUUCGAAUUAGAUGUACUUUUGAAGGUGAAUUUGAUUGUAGGAAGUAGUUUAUGGAUGUUUUAACUUUACGAUGUUUAAGUGUUUGAAUAUAGAAAGUAGUUUAUGGUUGUUUAACUUUACGAUGUUCAAGUGUUUGAAUGUAGUUUUAAGGAUAUUUAGAAGUACUUUAAAUUGAAACUUGAGGUUGAAUUUGAUUUUAGAAUGUGAAGUUUAUGAUUGUAGAAGUACUUUGAUGAAUUGGACGUGUUGAUGAAUUGCAUUGUUGA